AAUAGAUACCCGGGUAGUCCACGCUGUAAACGAUGAACACUAGGUGUGGGGACGCAAGUUUCCGUGCCGCAGUUAACACAAUAAGUGUUCCACCUGGGGAGUACGGCCGCAAGGUUGAAACUCAAAGGAAUUGACGGGGAGCCCGCACAAGCAGUGGAGUAUGUGGUUUAAUUCGACGCAACGCGAAGAACCUUACCAGGACUUGACAUCCUAAGAAGUCGGCUUAAUAGCUGAUGUGCCCUUCGGGGAGCUUAGAGACAGGUGGUGCAUGGUUGUCGUCAGCUCGUGUCGUGAGAUGUUGGGUUAAGUCCCGCAACGAGCGCAACCCUUAUGGUCGGUUGCUACGAAAGAGCACGUCCGGCCGGACUGCCGUCGAUAAACGGAGGAAGGUGGGACGACGUCAAAUCAUCAUGCCCCUUACGUUCUGGGCUACACACGUACUACAAUGGCGCAAACAAAGGGGAGCGAAGCCGCGAGGUGGAGCAAAUCUACAAAAAACGGCGUCUCAGUUCGGAUUGUAGGCUGCAACCCGCCUACAUGAAGUCGGAAUUG
rnacentral:rRNA from 1 species